rnacentral:rRNA from 1 species
GACGAACGCUGGCGGCGUGCUUAACACAUGCAAGUCGAACGGAAAGGCCCUGCUUUUGUGGGGUGCUCGAGUGGCGAACGGGUGAGUAACACGCGAGUAACCUGCCCUUGACUUUGGGAUAACUUCAGGAAACUGGGGCUAAUACAGGAUAGGAGCUCCUGCUGCAUGGUGGGGGAUGGAAAGUUUCGGCGGUUGGGGCUGGACUCGCGGCUUAUCAGCUUGUUGGGGGGGUAGGGGAUUCCCAAGCCUUUGACGGGUAGCCGGCCUGAGAGGGUGGCCGGCCACAUUGGUCCUGCGAUACGGCCCAGACUCGUACGGGCGGCAGCGGUGGGGAAUAUUGCGCAAUGGGCGGAAGCCUGUUGCAGCAGCGCCGCGUGCGUGAUGCCGGCCUUCGGGUUGUAAACCGCUUUCGCCUGUGACGAAGCGUGAGUGACGGUAAUGAGUAAAGAAGCACCGGCUAACUACGUG